rnacentral:rRNA from 1 species
UGGGGGAUAUUGCACAAUGGGCGAAAGCCUGAUGCAGCGACGCCGCGUGGGGGAUGAAGGCCUUCGGGUUGUAAACUUCUUUUGCUCUGAACAAGGCGCACCAUGGGGUGUGUUGAGUGUAGGGGUUGAUUAGCGCCGGCUAACUACGUGCCAGCAGCCGCGGUAAUACGUAGGGCGCGAGCGUUGUCCGGAAUUAUUGGGCGUAAAGGGCUUGUAGGUGGCUGGUUGCGUCUGUCGUGAAAGCUCAUGGCUUAACUGUGGGUUUGCGGUGGGUACGGGCUGGCUUGAGUGCAGUAGGGGAGGCUGGAAUUCCUGGUGUAGCGGUGGAAUGCGCAGAUAUCAGGAGGAAUACCGGUGGCGAAGGCGGGUCUCUGGGUUGUUACUGACACUGAGGAGCGAAAGCAUGGGGAGCGAACAGG